AUGACGCUGCUGAAAUUCUUCCAUAUCUCCGUUUUCCUGCUCCUAUGCACAGCCAAGGCGACCAACCCGGAAGCAGAAGCACUACUCCGAUGGAAGUCCACUUUGAUUGGCGCCAACUUGCUGUCCUCUUGGUCGAUUACCAAAUCUACAUGCUCUUGGUUCGGCGUCACCUGUGAUGCUGCCGGACAUGUUACCGAACUCCAACUUCAUAACGGGCUCCAUGGUACGCUUCAUGCCUUCUACUCUGCAGCGUUCCAGAACCUCACUCUGCUUGAUCUUUACAACAAUAACCUUGUUGGCGUCGUCCCAGCAAAUAUCUCCAUGUUGAUGUCCCUUGGUGUUCUGGACUUGAACUAUAAUAAUCUUGCCGGUGCCAUUCCCUACCAACUUAGUAAGCUUCCAAUGAUUGUUGAGUUAGAUUUGGGAAAUAACCACUUGACCAACCCGGAAUAUGCCAAGUUUUCACCUAUGUCCACUUUGAAGUUGCUAUCUCUAGCUAAUAAUGACCUCAAUGGUACCUUCCCACAAUUCAUCCUCAACUUCUCUAGUCCUAGUAUGAGGUCUCUAGAUUUAUCAGGUAACGCUUUCUCAGGGCCGUUACCACAUUCAUUGCCUGAGAUGGUUCCAAGAUUGCGGUAUCUGAAUUUAUCCUCUAAUGGAUUCUCUGGCUCCAUACCUCGCUCACUCUCAAGGCUCCAAAAGCUCAAGUGGCUAUAUCUCAACUCAAAUAAUCUCACAGGAGGAAUCCCCAAGGAGCUUGGGAUGAUAACUGGAUUGAGAAUGCUUUCACUGUACAACAACUCACUUGGUGGGUCGAUCCCAGCCUCGCUUGGGGAGCUUCAGUUGCUGCAACGGCUCAGCAUUGGAAACACUGAUUUGGUUUCUAUUCUUCCGCCCGAGCUGGGGAAUCUUACCAGUCUUGAACACAUGUUACUGGAAGGGAAUCAUUUGUUUGGAAGCGUGCCACCAUCUUAUGGCAGACUGCGGAAUUUGCAAUAUUUUGACAUAGGGAACAACAGAAUCAAUGGUACCAUUCCACAAGAGAUUUCUACAAACUGGACCAAGAUGAAGGUUUUUGAUGUAUCCAACAACUGGUUAACCGGAAGCCUCCCCCCACAGAUCAGCAAGUGGAAGGAGCUUGUUUUGCUCGCCCUGUACAACAACAAUUUUAUUGGCUCGAUCCCAGUGGAGAUGGGAAGCAUGCGGAACUUGCAGCUAUUGUCCUUGCACAAGAAUCACAUAACUUGAACGAUACCGUCAGUUAUCGGUAAUGCGACAUCUUUGAAAUUCCUUGACAUCAGCUUCAACCAUCUCGAGGGCGAGCUUCCUGCAUCUAUCUCGUUGUUGGUAAAUCUUAUUGUUCUUGACUUGUCUAGCAACAAGUUUACAGGUAUCAUUCCAAAUUUUCAUAGCAGGAAGUUGACAGUUCUUAAGGUGGCUCAUAAUAGCAGCUUCUUGGCAGAACCAUUGUCUGCCUUUUGUCAACUAAAACAUUUGCGGCUCUUGGGUCUAUCAAAUAAUAAGUUAAUUGGACAGUUUCGUGGUUGCUUGUGGAACUUGAAAGAUUUACAAUCCUUGGAUUUGUCAAGCAAUGCUUUUUCUGGGGAAGUUCCAACCUCAACUUACUACAAUACUUCACUAAGAUUGCUGCAGUUGUCGAACAACAAGUUCACAGGUUGCUUUCCAGCAGUGAUGAAGAACUUGAAAAGACUUGUUAUUUUAGAUCUCGGGAACAAUGAGAUUUCUGGUGCAAUUCCUCCGUGGAUAGGGGAAAGCAAUCCUCUGCUGAGGAUCCUUAGACUGCGAUCAAAUAUGUUCUAUGGAAGUGUUCCUUGGCAGCUAUCACAGCUCUCCCAUCUGCAAUUACUUGAUCUGGCUGAAAAUAAAUUCGUAGGGACCAUACCGGAAAGUUUUGCAUAUUUUCGUUCAAUGAGACAGUCAGACAUCAUGCAGCCGGUUCUAACAAUCAACAUACGAUCUACCACCUUUGGAUAUUUUUACAAUGGCAGCACGGACAUAGUUUGGAAGGGACGGGAGCAUACAUUUAAGGGAAGAGAUGCAUUUGUGACUGGUAUUGAUCUCUCCAGCAAUUCUCUAUCUGGUGAAAUCCCUUUAGAGUUGACAAAUCUUAGAGGCAUCCAGUUUCUAAAUAUGUCAAGAAAUCAUCUAUCUGGUGGUAUCCCGAAGGACAUUGGCAAUCUGAAGUUGUUAGAAUCCCUUGACAUCUCGAGGAACAAACUAUCAGGCCCUAUUCCUCCUAGCAUAUCGAACUUGAUAUUCCUCAGCUCUCUUAAUCUCUCGAACAACCUUCUAUCCGGGGAGAUACCUACAGGCAAUCAACUCCAAACAUUGGAUGACCCGUAUUGA
rnacentral:rRNA from 1 species